UACGGGGGGAGCAAGCGUUGUUCGGAUUUACUGGGCGUAAAGGGCGCGUAGGCGGUCAGCACAAGUCAGUUGUGAAAUCUCCGGGCUUAACUCGGAAAGGUCAACUGAUACUGUGCGACUAGAGUGCGGAAGGGGCAACUGGAAUUCUCGGUGUAGCGGUGAAAUGCGUAGAUAUCGAGAGGAACACCUGCGGCGAAGGCAGCUCUCUGGGACGGUACUGACGCUGAGGCGCGAAAGCGUGGGGAGCAAACAGG
rnacentral:rRNA from 1 species